rnacentral:lncRNA from 1 species
UUCUGAGCCCAUUGAGACUUGUAGUGAAAAACCAAGCAUCCCCUGAUAAAUAGGUAGUAGAAACAAACUACCUAUGAAAAUGCUUUUUGAUUUGUGGAUUUAUCUCACAGUGUUAAAUUUUUGAUUUGAUUCAACUGGUUGAAAACAUUCUUUAUGUAGAAUCUAUGAAGAGACGUUUUUGAGCUUAUCGAGAUGUAAGGUGAGAAACUGAAUAUCCCGCUAUGCAAAGUACAAACAAGCUCUCUGUGAAAAUGCUUUGUUAUAUGGGGAUUCUUCUCACUGAAUGGAUCUUGUGUUGUGAUUCACUGGGUUGGAAACACUUUUUUUUAGAAUCUAUGAAGGGACAUUUCCGAGGCCAUCGAGGCCUAUAGUGAACAACAGAAUAUUCUGUGAUAAAAACUAGAAACAACCUACCUGUGAAAACGAUUUGUGAUCUUUGGAUUCAUCUCACCACAUGGAACCUGUGUUUUGAUUCAGCUGGUUGGAAAAACUCUUUUUGUGGAAUCUACCAAAGGAUAUUUCUAAGCCCGUUGAGGCCUAUAUUAAAUUGAUUAUCUCAUGGUAAGAACUAGAAACAAGCUAUCUGUGAAAAUGCUUUGCAUUAGGUGGAUUCAUCUCAUGAAGUUAAACCUUUGUUUUAUUCAACAGGUUGAAAGCAUUCUUUUUGUAGAAUCUAUGAAAAGACAUUUCUGAGCUUAUUCUGGUUUAUAGAGUAAAACCGAAUAUCCUGAAAUAAAAACUGGAAACUAGGUUGAAAACACAAUUUUUGAAGUAUCUAUGAUGGGACAUAUCGAAGCCCGUUGAGACUUAGUGAAAAACAGAAUAUCCCCUGACAAAAAUUAGAAACAAGCUUUCUGUGAAAAUGUUUUUUGAUGUCUGUAUUUAUCUCACUGAAUGAAAAAUGCAUUUUGAUUCAAGAUGCUGGAAACACUAUUUUUGUAGAAUCUAUGAAGGGAUAUUUCUGAACUCAUUGAAGUCUACAGUGACAAACCGACUAUCCAAUGAUAAAAACUAGAAAUACGCUGUGAAAAAGUUUUAUGAUGUGUGGAUUCUUCUCACUGAAUUAAACCUGCAUUGUAAAUCAUCAGGACUGAAACCUUCUAUUUGUAGAAUCUAUGAAGGAACAUUUAUGAGCCCAUCGAGGCCUGUAUUGAAAAACAAAGGAUCCUGUGGUAAAAACUAGAAACAACCUAAAUAUGGAAAUGCUUUGAGAAAUGUGAUUCAUCUCACAGAGAUGAAUCUUUGUAUUGAUUCAUCAGGUUGGAAACUCUCUUUUUGUGGAAAAUAAAAGGUCUAAAAAGAGACAUAUCUGAGCCCAUUGUGGCCUACAGUGAAAAACUGAAUUUCUUGAACAAACGCUGGAAACCAGCUAUGUGUGAAAAUGCUUUGUGAUGUGUGGGUUUAUCUCACAAAGUUAAACCAUUGUUUUGAUUCAACAUGUUGGAAACACUCUCUCUGUAGAAUCUAUGAAAAAACAUUUCUGAGCUCAUUGAGAAGUAUAGUGAAAAACCACAUAUCCUGAAAUAGAAACUAGAAACAAGAUACGUGUGGAAUGUUUGUGAUGUGUGGAUUCAUCUCACCAAAUGGAACCUGUAUUUUGAUUCACCCAGUUGGAAACACACUUUUUGUAGAAUCUACGAAGGGACAUUUCAGAGCCCAUUGAGGCCUAUUGUGAAAAAUCAAUUAUCCCAUGGUAAAAACUUGAAACAACCUAUCUGUGAAAAUACUUUGUGAUGUAUAGAUUCAUCUCACAAAGUUAAACCAUUGUUUUUAUUCAACACAUUGGAAACACUAUUUUUUAGAAUCUACAAAUAGAAAUUUCUUAGCUUUUUGAGACCUAUAGUAAGAAACUAAUAUCCCACAAUAAAAACUAGAGACAAGCUGUAUGUGAAAAUGUUUUGUGAUGUGUGCAUUCAUCUAACUGAAUGGCACCUGUGUUUUGAUUCACAAGGUUGGAAACACUUUUUGUAGAAUCUACAGAGGUACAUUUCUGAGCCCAUUGAGGCCUACUGUGAAAAACCAAAUAUUCUGUGAUAAAAAUUAGAAACAAGCUAUCUUUGAAAAUGCUUUGGUAUAUGUGGAUUUAUCUCACAGCAUUUAACCUAUGUUUUGAUUCAACAGGUUGGAACGACUUUUUUAGCAGAAUCUAUGACAGUACGUUUCUUUGUCCUUUUAAACCUAUCAUGAAAAACCAAAUUUCCUGUGAUAAAAACCAGAAACAGGGUUUCUGUGAAAAUGCUUUGUGAUGUGUGGAUUCAUCUCACAGACGUUAACCUUUGUUUUGUUUCAACAGGUUCAAAACACUCUUCCUGUAAAAUCUACUUAGGGACAGUCCUGAGCCCAUUGAGGUCUUUAGUAAAAAACGGAAUAUCCCAUGAUAAAAACUAGAAACAAACUAUCUGGGAAAAUGUUUGUGAUGUGUGGUUUCAUAUCACAGAGUAAAACCUUUGUUUUGAUUUAAAACGUUGAAAUCACUCUUUUUGUAGUAUCUAGAAAUGGAUAUUUCUGAACCCGUUGAUGCUUAUAGUAAAAAAUUAAAUUUUCUACAAUAUAAACUAGAAACAAACUAUCCGUGAAAACGUUUUGUAAU